UUUCCGUAGGUGAACCUGCGGAAGGAUCAUUACCACACCUUAAUUUCGAAUUCGAAGUUGGUUUCGGCCACUUCGUCUUCAGUCACGCGAAAAUGAAUUGUUGGGGUGCGUCUUCGGGCGUAUCCCACCCCAGGAAUGCUUCGGCGCUUCUGGGUCAUUUUAAAUCCGCUUGUUUACAAGUGUGAGAAACAACGCAAUGAUAGAAACUCAUCAGUGAUGUUCUUCGGAAUAUCCCAAUAGAUGAAACGAGUCAAACACUUUCAGCAAUGGAUGUCUUGGCUCCC
rnacentral:misc_RNA from 1 species